rnacentral:rRNA from 1 species
GACGAACGCUGGCGGCGUGCUUAACACAUGCAAGUCGAACGGAAAGGCCCUGCUUUUGUGGGGUGCUCGAGUGGCGAACGGGUGAGUAACACGUGAGUAACCUGCCCUUGACUUUGGGAUAACUUCAGGAAACUGGGGCUAAUACCGGAUAGGAGCUCCUGCUGCAUGGUGGGGGUUGGAAAGUUUCGGCGGUUGGGGAUGGACUCGCGGCUUAUCAGCUUGUUGGUGGGGUAGUGGCUUACCAAGGCUUUGACGGGUAGCCGGCCUGAGAGGGUGACCGGCCACAUUGGGACUGAGAUACGGCCCAGACUCCUACGGGAGGCAGCAGUGGGGAAUAUUGCACAAUGGGCGGAAGCCUGAUGCAGCAACGCCGCGUGCGGGAUGACGGCCUUCGGGUUGUAAACCGCUUUCACCUGUGACGAAGCGUGAGUGAUGGUAAUGGGUAAAGAAGCACCGGCUAACUACGUG